rnacentral:siRNA from 1 species
UUUAUGGUUUAUUUUCAGAUUUGC